rnacentral:rRNA from 1 species
GACGAACGCUGGCGGCGUGCUUAACACAUGCAAGUCGAGCGGUAAGGCCCUUUCGGGGGUACACGAGCGGCGAACGGGUGAGUAACACGUGGGUGACCUGCCUUUAGCUCUGGGAUAAGCCUGGGAAACUGGGUCUAAUACCGGAUACGACUCCGCGGUGCAUGCUGUGGGGUGGAAAGCCUUGUGCGGCUGGAGAUGGGCCCGCGGCCUAUCAGCUUGUUGGUGGGGUGAUGGCCUACCAAGGCGACGACGGGUAGCCGGCCUGAGAGGGCGACCGGCCACACUGGGACUGAGACACGGCCCAGACUCCUACGGGAGGCAGCAGUGGGGAAGUCUUGCGCAAUGGGCGAAAGCCUGACGCAGCGACGCCGCGUGAGGGAUGAC